UACAGAGGGUGCAAGCGUUAAUCGGAAUUACUGGGCGUAAAGCGUGCGUAGACGGUUGCGUAAGUCAGAUGUGAAAGCCCCGGGCUCAACCUGGGAAUUGCAUUUGAGACUGCGUAGCUAGGGUGCGGAAGAGGGAAGCGGAAUUUCCGGUGUAGCGGUGAAAUGCGUAGAUAUCGGGAAGAACACCCGUGGCGAAGGCGGCUCUCUGGGACGGUACUGACGCUGAGACGCGAAAGCGUGGGGAGCGAACAGG
rnacentral:rRNA from 1 species